ACGAACGCUGGCGGCGUGCCUAACCCCUGCAAGUCGAACGGAAAGGCCCUGCUUUUGUGGGGUGCUCGAGUGGCGAACGGGUGAGUAACACGUGAGUAACCCGCCCUUGUCUUUGGGAUAACUUCAGGAAACCGGGGCUAAUACCGGAUAGGAGCUCCUGCUGCAUGGUGGGGGUUGGAAAGUUUCGGCGGUUGGGGAUGGACUCGCGGCUUAUCCGCUUGUUGGGGGGGUAGGGGCUUACCAAGGCUUUGACGGGUAGCCGGCCUGAGAGGGUGAGCGGCCACAUUGGGACUGAGAGACGGCCCAGACUCCUACGGGAGGCAGCGGUGGGGAAUAUUGCGCAAUGGGGGGAAGCCUGAUGCAGCGACGCCGCGUGCGGGAUGACGGCCUUCGGGUUGUAAACCGCUUUCGCAUGUGACGAAGCGUGAGUGACGGUAAUGGGUAAAGAAGCACCGGCUAACUACGUG
rnacentral:rRNA from 1 species